UGGGGAAUAUUGCACAAUGGGCGCAAGCCUGAUGCAGCGAUGCCGCGUGAGGGAAGAAGGUUUUCGGAUUGUAAACCUCUGUCAUCAGGGACGAAAAAAGACGGUACCUGAGGAGGAAGCCCCGGCUAACUACGUGCCAGCAGCCGCGGUAAUACGUAGGGGGCGAGCGUUGUCCGGAAUUACUGGGCGUAAAGGGAGCGUAGGCGGUUAAUUAAGUUAGAUGUGAAAUACCCGGGCUUAACUUGGGGGGUGCAUCUAAUGCUGGUAAACUAGAGUACAGGAGAGGAAAGCGGAAUUCCUAGUGUAGCGGUGAAAUGCAUAGAUAUUAGGAGGAACAUCGGUGGCGAAGGCGGCUUUCUGGACUGACACUGACGCUGAGGCUCGAAAGCGUGGGGAGCAAACAGGAUUAGAUACCCUGGUAGU
rnacentral:rRNA from 1 species